CAUGGAUUCUAAAGCCUGAUAUAUUGGCUCCAGGAGUUGAUAUCUUGGGGGCAUGGGUUCCCAACAGGCCUAUAGCUACAAUUCGUGAUAUUGGUAAGCUACUCACUGAAUAUGCUCUCGAAUCCGGCACAUCAAUGUCUUGCCCUCAUGCAGCUGGUAUAGCCACGCUGCUUAAAGCCACCCAUCAUGAGUGGAGUUCAGCUGCCAUCCGUUCAGCAAUGAUGACAACAGCUGAUGUUCUUGAUAAUGCUUAUGAUAUGAUCGCGGACAUAUCAACCGGAGUUGCUGGAACUCCUCUUGAUUUCGGUGCAGGGCAUAUAAAUCCCAAUAAGGCCAUGGAUCCAGGACUUGUGUAUGAUAUUGAGGUCCAGGACUAUAUCAACUACUUGUGUGCGUUGAACUACACAAGUCAACAGAUUAGAGUUCUCACAGGGACAUCAAAUUUUACAUGUGAGCAUGGCAAUCUGGACCUAAACUAUCCAUCCUUUAUAAUCAUCUUGAACAACACCAACACUGCAAGCUUCACAUUCAAGAGGGUAUUGACAAAUGUAGCUGUUACGAGGUCUGUAUAUACUGCUGUAGUGAAGGCUCCAGCGGGUAUGACGGUGGCUGUGCAACCAGUAACAUUAUCCUUCGAUGAAAAGCAUAGUAAAGCCGAGUUCAAUUUGACAGUGAACAUUAAUCUGGGGAACGAUGUCAGUCCAAAACGUAACUAUCUUGGAAAUUUUGGGUAUUUGACAUGGUUUGAAGUUAACGGGAAGCAUCAGGUGAGAAGCCCCAUUGUCUCUGCAUUUUCUGUUUCUAAUGGGCAAUGAUAAAUUCACUUUAUUUGGAUUGGAUAACAAGUCAAGUAGCUAAAUGUUGAGAGCAUGUAGCUUCAAGGAAUGAGUCGUAUGGAGUAGUAAAGUUCAGGAUUCUUUACUUAUUUGCACAAAUCACGUCCAUGCAUUUACUAAGGUACAAGUUAAGAUGAGUAAAGAAUCCUUGUCUAUGAAAUUAAACUGGUGUUGUUUUUUUUAAUUAGACCCACCUCUUUUUAUUCUGUACUUUUCUGAAAUGGAAAAUUAACACAAUAGAAAAUCAAAGAAUAAAUAAAUAUAUAAAUGUAGGAUAUAAUCAGUUCAUUCACAAAUUCAGUAGCGUUAUUUUACCAUCUAUUAGUGUUAGAAGAUAUGUUUAGGACUGCUGAUGUGGAAUCAUACAUGUUGCUUAGUUGAAAGUUUCAACCUGUUCCUAUUUUUCUGGUGUUGGUUAUUUCUUUUGUUGUUCUUGUUGUGAUCGUGGCACAAUCUUUGGACCAUGAUUCUAGUGGGCUGUUAUUUGGCUUUGGUGUGUUAUUUAAGCUUUAAAUUGUAAUGUUUUUUAGUUAAUGAAUUGAGUGAAGUUCUCUUGACAAUUAACGUGGCUCUUAUUUCCUUCUGUAAACUUUGUUUUCUUUUCUUAUUCGAGUAACAACAAUUAGCAACUAGGAAUCUUGGGGAAAAAAAAUACUUAUCUUGAUACAGAAGCAGAAGCCCCAUUGUUUAAUAUCACACCAAUGGAAUAAAAUGGGACUGUAGAAAAGAGAUUUAUCAGCUAAUUUCUGGUUAUUUGAUCUUGUCAUUCUGCUUCCGGUUUCUCUUAUGAUUUUCUGGCUAUUAUUUUCCAUGGAAGCCGCGAAAUCGAGCAUCAACAAGAUAGUUACGUUUUGGACUAGCGACAAUGGAAGAUGUGCACAUAUACAUAUAUCGGCCGUUGGCGUUGCAGCGCCCAGAGGUUAAUAGCAAGCGUCGCAGGCUAGCAUGACACCGGACACAAUAGAUGAGAAAACACAAUGUCACACACCCAAGAAAUCAGAAGCUCACCACCACAGCAAACAACAAAAGGAUACAGAAAAAAAUUCACCACCUAAAGUUGUUAAGCUAAAGAUACAGGGCUUAAAAUACUCACCACUCAAUGGAAUCCACCAAAGAGAUACAGAAUUUGAUAAUAACUCAAAGUUCAUCCAAUCCCCAAAAUUAAUUUCUAUAUUUUGGUUACAACUACAUAAGCUUAAAUAAUUUUCUUGGAACAAUCCUCCAACCAUAGAUAUACUACAAAGAAGCCCUUCAAAUGACUUGACUUAAAAGACCAACAUUAAAGCUAGACAUUAAUAAAACAUUGGUAUGCUUAAAACACAGCAAAGAGCAUUAAAAAAAAGUCUCAAGUCCAGAAAUAUUCUUCUUGACUCAAAACUGAACAGCCUGCACUUAACUGAUCAUAACUUACUGUAGAAAGCUCCAAAUUUAGAUUAGUAAAAUUCAUUGGAAAGCUAACAGAAAUAUCUUUCCAAUGAUGUAUGGCUCGAAAAUUAAUUCGAUCUCAUGCAGUACAGUUUAAUUUCCAAAGAUGCCCCUUCUGCACAGAAAUUCUGCUCACUUGAUUAAUGUAAGAACUUGAACUGCACUUGGUAUAACUUGAAUACCAAAUAUUUCAAACACCCCUGUGUUAUAGCAGCUCUUCACUUAAUGUUGACAGUAAUUGGUAAGGAUGUUCUGUUUAUUUUCUCUUUCGCCAAGUCAACAAAACACUUUUAUCAUAAGGUUAAUUUUAAGAAAAAUAUGUCUAAUUGCACCUUGGAGCUGAUUAUGAGAGUGAUGUUGCCGGCAAAGCAGUCUUGUAUAUUUUAAAGCAUGCAAAAAAUGAAUCAAAUUUCCAUGUAUGAAUUAAUUAAUUUUCUUAUGCGCUGCAGUUUAGACAAAGUUUUGGGUUUCUUUGUUGGGGCUUUGUCUUUUUUGGUCUAUAAUGUGUAUUGUUGUUCUGUGUUUUCAUUAAAUUAUUGUUGGAUAGGACUAAUGUUUGCUUUGACAUAAACAGAAGCAGAUUUUACAAUUACGCUAUUACGAAUUUUUUAAACCUGAAAUUGCAACCCAAACUGUAAUUGAGUAUGACACGAACCCGAACCGAAUUUGAAGCUGAAUUGAACGCAACCGAACUUGAAACUGAGCCUAACUAAAUCGAAAUAAAUUCUCUAACCCAAACGGGUAGCAAUUCGUAAAAUCGAACUGAAAAUUGAAAUGCCCACCCCUAUCGCUGGGUUUAUGAAACAUUAUGAUAAUAACUGAUUGCUUUGAAUUGUUCUAGUGUGUAAAGCAUUUUCAUUUACUUGUUGGAUAUUAAGAAAUAAUUAUGGUUUGUUUUUUUCUGACAUUUAUUAGCCCUUGCUUCAAUUGAUGUUUGCUUGAAUAGGUGGAGUUUUGACAACGAAAGAAGCAAGGCAGAUGCAAAUGCAAUAAAUCUAUGAUGGACUUGCAUCGAGCAACGGAAUUUCCUGCACUCUUUUAGUUUUUUAAUAAUGGUUGUUGUAAAUGGAAUUAGGAACCUGACCCGAAAUUAGUAACAAAAACUGUUCUGCAACCCAGACCGUGUUUGACCCCGAAUUAACAACCCGAAACUGAACAGAAUUACGAACCUGAAUCGAACCAAAAUAAAUUUUCAACCCGAAUUGAAUAUUGAUAUCAAUUAACAUUUGAAGCAAGUAAAUUUUAGGUUUUUUUUUUAAUUUUUUAGGAUCUUCUUGAUUAUUUCUGCUGUACGGCCAAGGCGGAUGUACGGUACAGCAGAUAAGAGCUUCUUGUCGAAGCAUCAUCAUUUUUCUUUUUUGAUGAUAAGAUUUCGACGUGUUUUCACAUUUCUAACAGGUUCAACCAAUUUGACUCCUUACUCUGCAACUUUGUUGAGUGGAUUUCUUGCUGUGAUAUCUGUAAAUAUAGUUAUUGCAUUUUACAUUUAUAUGGCAAAUGAGGGAACCUUCAGACAAACGUGAGCCAGAUCCUAAAUUUCUUGCCGAGGCCAAAGCUAGUGUAACCCAGUCUACCGGUAAAGCUGAGGUUUCUUCUGAAUCCCUCAAGAAAGAAGUGUAGGAUACCAAAGCCUUGGCCAUUUCACCUUGAGAAAAUUUUCAACUGAAAACGUGCGACCAGGGCCCAUUGUUGAUUGGAUAAAGUUGAAAUAUGCUUGGUUGUCUAUGUUUCUAUAUUGUCAUGUCAGACUUUCAGUGUCAACACUACAAUUUUGUGAGAUGCAUGCAUGAUUUUGUGGUGAUAACUUAAUUCUUUUUUCUUUUGGGAACAGAACUUUAAUGUGGAUGAAGUGUCAGGGGAGGUGGAAUACUCGUAUAAUAAUAAUAACCUCAUAUGGUGCAAUUAUUGGAAACCAGCCAUGAUUAACGGAUGAGGAUACUCUUCUAUCACUUUAUUAGCUUCAAAAGUGCCUGCAGCCCACACUUUUUUUUUGUUUCAACUUAGAACAAUUUUUUUUAAAAAAAAUUAAAUGUGUUGAUGAGCUCUUGGUUCUAUUCGAUCUUGUGAAAAAUGGUAAUGUAAUGUUGGUCUUGAACCUUCAGUAAUGAAGAUUUAUUCGGGUGAUUGAUAGUUGAACUAUUACAAUUUGAUCAUUUGCAAUGGUUAGAAAAUUUGAGGUUCCAUUUUUGUUUAUCAAGGUUGGGAAAUGGUUUUUCAUUAUAAAUAUUUAAAACAAAUAAAUUGAAUAGUACAACUUCUCAGAGGUUCUCACUACAUGAAUUAUCCAAGAUUAUUCCCUCAAUGCUGCUAUAAUUAAGCUUGCCCCAAUCAUUAUACAUCUUUACAAAAUUUUAAAGAGAUCUAACGGAUCUUUUUUCCUCAAAUUCCUCUUUGGCCUUAUUCUAUCUUCCCCACUCUCCCCGUUCUACUUUUGGAAGACCAUGCGUUAUAUCACCAGGUCUCGAUUAUGGAAUUCAUGAAAUCCUAAUCAUUGCAAGUAACUUAUAAUGCAUGUUUCUGAUUCAUCCUUGGAGAAUUAUUAGAUAACCAAAAUUUUAAUGCAACUUUAAGCAUCAUUUGUUUAUUUUUAUGGUCAAUGGAAUAUUCAAUAAAUAAAUGUUUCACUACAUGAUCAUAUCACACUUCAUUCUUGAAAGAACCUUGGCUGACAGUAAUUAACAUAGAGAUUCAACAAAUAGUGUCGCCCGAUAAAUUUUUGAUAAUUUUGGAAUGCCAUAUUACUUUGGAAAGAUCCACUUGGAAGAAAUAUCUGUAAGCGGCUUGAAAAAUAGCAACUAACUAACUAGUGAAAUAAAGGUAAAAACUUGGCAAGUCUAAUGAAAGUUCAGCAGCUAUAACAUCCACCUAAAUUUAUGAAUCCAUACGAAAAACAUUAGCUAACAACUUCACAUGAAUCCAUGAUUUACAAAAUUGAACUCGUUAAUCUUAAAAUUGUCACUAAACAGAUAAAGAGAGGCACAAAUAUUCUCAAUCUGUUAUAUCAAAACAGAGUUUGGCCUCAUCCCGAGGACCGUUAAUCUCGAAUUUGUAUUCCUGAGUUCAUAUAAGCCAGUACGGACAAUCCACAUUCACAAAAACCAACAUACCUAAAAACAACACAAAAAGAGUAACCGAUGCAGCAUAUGAACAUCAAGCUACAAGCUUCUUUCCUACCAUUUGGUUCUUAUGAAGUUUUAUUAGAUGGUGUUUGGGCAUAACAGUCCAACCGACAGAUCUAGAUUCAAAUGAAUGAAUGCCACGGAAAGUCGCCGAUGAGCUGGCUUAAAAACCUCAAUUUGUUGCCACUGUAUUCUAUUAUGAGGGUGAAAAGUCGAGGACGUGUAGGAUUGGGAUGUCUCUGUCUGUAUGUAUAAACUACACGCAUGUUGCUGGUGGGUCUAUGCAGAGAAUUAAUUGCUGCCACUGACUUGUUGUCUUUUGCCACCAAAUUUUUCAAUCAACUGACGAAUGCGGGAGCUUGGUAAAUUUCUAAUAAUAUUCAUUUGGUGGUCCAGCGCAGAAGAUAUUAACUUGUCAGAUGUAACCAAGUACUUCCUUAGUUUUCCCAAUUCUCUCCUAUUCAGAUAAGCGGGAAAAAAAAAAAAAAAGGCUCAUCAUAGUACAAAUCUACUAGGAGAGACGAUCAUGACAAGUUUAAAGAAUCCUAUGAAAAGUUUACAUAUGAAGACAAUCAUGCUCAAAUUUGUGGAUGAGUUGUUUGGGGGAUAAAAGAGGCAGCAUGAUUGAAUACGAUUUCGUGCAAAUCAUGCUCUCCUCGACAUUAUAGUUAACAGCUGGCCUCCUCGAGUUGUGAUUUAUAGAAGCUCCUAAGCAAUCUGCUUUAGUCAUUACGUAGCAGGUAGGUCGCUCUACAGUUUUGCUCGCACAAGGAUCUCACGAGGAGAGACUCAAACCAAGUAACCUAAACACUCGGUCAUGAGUCAACUUGAGAAUUCUAGGGUCUAGUGAUGAGUAUAAUAUAUAUAUAUAUUUUACCUUUUAUUAGAUAAUUGUUAGUUAUUUUUAUUUAUUAUUUUUAAUUAAUUGAAUUAUUUUAUUGAAUAGGAGAUUAAUUGGAGAUUAUGAAUGAAAAGUACAAAAAGAAUAAUAAUUAGACAGCAUUAAAGAUCAAAUCAAUUUGUGGAAGCAAUUAAGCAUAUGUGCAUGAUAUUCAAGAUGAAGAAACCGAAGCCAAUAAAUUAAAUCAGUCAUGCUCAUGCAAACCAAGAAGACGUUUAAAGCUAAAGCUCUAAAAGACAUUAUUAAUUGGCCAUGUGCUUUUAAGUCAAACAAGUGGCUUGCUUUCAAACAUUAAUGAGGAAACAAUUAAAAAUAGGCUUGGUGAGCAGGUGAGUGAAGCCAAAACAAAUUAAAAGGCCAAACCUUUUGAAGACUAAGGGUGCGUUGGAGAUUGAGGUGUUGUAGUUUAAAAGCUACAGUUGUUGUGGAAAAAAAGUUGUGACUAUGAAAUAAAAAUUAAUAAUAUGUAGUAAAUAUAAAUUUUAAAUAAUAAUUUUGACAAAAUUAUUAAAGAUAUAAUAGAUUUUUCAUUUUAUAAGUGAAAAAUUAUAUUAACAUAGCUUCCAAGUUACAGCAGCUAGUGUUUUGCAAACACUUUAGUAUUGUACUUUAAAAGCUACAGCUGCCUAACCUCAAUCUCAAACGCACCCUAAAUAUAAAAGUAAGCUUUUGGCUUUUGGAGAAGGGGAGCAGCCGCCAGGAAGAAAAAGAAGCAGAUGCGAUUCGGGAGAGACAGGAGCGGCAGCAACUGUUCAAUUUUUCCCAUGGCUGGGUUUAUUUUAUUUGUUGCUCUCAAUUCAAGUAUGUCUAGCUAAUUUUCUUAUACUGAGGUUAAGGAUGAAACCAUAUUUAAUGAAAUAAUUAUCUUUUUAUUUAAUUAAUUCCCUAUAUAUGUGCUUUAAUGUUUAUGGUUCUUGUUUCACAUGAUUAAUUGGAUGUUAUUAAAAUCUUUUCAUCAAUUCUGUCAUGCAUUAUUGAUUGUUAGGAUUAAUAUUCUAUUAAAUCUAUGCUUGGAUCUAUAAAGUUUAUACAUGAUUAUCUUUGAUUUUAUGUCUUUCAUUAAAUUGUUUACAUAGAGUGCUUAGGAAAACUUUGACUCCCUGUUAUUCAAUAUGUUUACAUGGGAUGCUUAGAUGUCAUACUAUUAAGUAGAAAAAGAACCUACAUUAGAUUUAAUUACUUGGGUGUAAUUGUUAUAUUCAUGAGAUGAUAUAGAUUGAUUUCGAGUUGUCACUCUAAAAUUGGAGAUUAAUUAAUAAUUAGAUAAUUAUUAGUUGAAUAGUGGUGGAUUAUGAAACCUUGGUAAUUUUGUCUUAUUGAAUUCUCAUUUGCUUUAAUUGUUUUCUUAGUUUAAUUAGUAUAAUUUUCUUUAAAAAACUCAAUUUGCCCAACUAGGUUAGGAUUAAUAUUAAUUUUAGAUUUAAAUUAGACUUUUCAAUUCGUAGCAAUCUCUGUAGGUUUAACCUCGUUACCAUUAUUCUAUCUCUAAAUUCGUGCGCUUGUGAGUAUAUUAAAAUUUUUCACAACAUCUCGGUCCUCUAUAAGAACUCUAGAAAAUUUAAAAUCAAGUAAGUUUUCUCUGACUUACAGGACCUCUGGACUUUCUCUCUUUUCCAACUUUUUCUCAUAUUUACUUUAAAAGUAAUUUUCGAAAGCAUUUGGAAUUAAGUCACAAGAGCUGUGGCAUAAGUUUUUCCUUAAAGACCUAAUUUUUUACUUGAACGUCGAAGAGUUCACGCUGGAAGACACAUCUAAUGUCCCACUAACUGUUUUUGUGAACGCAAGUGUAUUUCAAGUGCUCGUGGUUGCUUGCAUUUGCUCGAAGAAAGGAAGUGCGAGCAAGUAUCGUCUCCCAUAAAAACAAAUUUAAGUAUUGGUGUAAACACCUGCUCGCAACAACAUGGACCAGAUUUUUGCAUCUAACAUGAGCCAUAGAAAAUAAAACAAUAUUCAGUUUCUUGAUGCUAAAUGGCAUUAGCAAGUCAAGGAUCCUUUGUAAUACGAAGACAUUCAUCCUCAAAUUCUAAUUCAGCAAAUAUUUGCUUUGUCCUUAAUAUAAAUGCAUUUGGAAAGUUGCUCUCUUUCUCACCUGACGAUCCUCUUGCUACCAUAGGUUAAAAAAAGAAAAAAAAAGAAAAAAAAAGUUUUAAGAGUAGCUUUCAGUCCCAGAAUUAUUUGAGAGGCCUACUUUUCCCAGAAUUAUUUGAGAGGCUGCUGUUUGACUCAGUCAAUAAUUGCUCCUAUUGAUCUCCAUCGUCCAAUUGGAAUUUCAGUAGUGAGGCAGGAUUGAUGCUUCCAAAAUGAAGAGUAUUAAAAAAGGAAGCAAGAUUAUUUUCACCUUGUUUUCUUCGAACAUUCCAGGCAAGUCGGUCCUUUUUUUUUAUUUUGCUUUUUUUUUUCCUUCGAUUUUUCUCUUGAUCUCCACCAUCAAUUUGUUCUUUUCUUCCAACUUUUCUCUUGAUAACUUCAUCAGCGUACAUUAUACGCUUGUGUUUAAAAGGUUCAGUAGGCUUGCGACUGUGAACUGAAGCAGCAAACUGAGUGCAAACCACACUGUUUUUUAGGCAGAAAACGCGCAGGGGAACAGUGAGUACAGCAUGAUGUACAUCUCCCAAUUUGAGAUAUAAGAUCCCCUCUGUUUCAGCCCUGGCUUUGUAGCCAACACCUUCAAUCUUCAAAAGCCAAAAAAAAUUGGCUUCCAUCCCAGUUAAAGUAAAUUUAUCGUGUAAAUUUCCUCAAUAGCCGUCAUAGCAAGUGCUUGGAACCCCAGGUAAAUCAGUCCUUACAAUAGCUUUACCAAAAAAAAGAAAAAUUGAAAGACAUUGAUGUUUUCAAUGCCAAUGAAUUGUACAUGCAUAGCACGUCUAUACAAGUAUAGAAGAAGCUUUUAGUAUGUAUUUCAAAUGUCAUACCAAUUCAAGUCGGUGACAAGAAUCAUGGGAGCAUUCACAGGCAUCAUUUUGAUGAUCCUCUCUAUUUUACUCUUGGUCUUGUCUGCCGCCUCAGCAUCUAUGUUAAGAGAUCGUAAAACGUAUAUUAUCCACAUGGACAAGUCGGCAAUGCCAGCUCCAUUUUCCACCCACCACCACUGGUACAUGUCCAUUCUUUCAUCCCUUUCUUCACCUGAUGGUGAUGCCCCAACCCAUCUCUACACCUACAACCAUGUCAUGGAUGGAUUCAGUGGCGUGUUAUCGCAGACGCACCUCGACAAACUCCAGAAAAUGCCAGGUCACCUUGCCACGUACCAGGAAACAUUUGGCCACCUGCACACCACCCACACCCCAAAAUUUCUCGGCCUAAAGAAACAAGCUGGGUUAUGGCCAGCUGCAGGUUUUGGUAGUCACGUUAUUGUGGGUGUUAUUGAUACUGGAGUUUGGCCAGAGAGUCCGAGCUUUAAAGAUGACGGCAUGCCUCCAGUGCCUGAGCGAUGGCGCGGUGCCUGUGAAGUGGGUGUUGAGUUUAAUGCUUCUCAUUGCAACAGAAAACUGAUAGGAGCACGCUCAUUCAGCAAAGGGCUGAAGCACUAUGGCUUGAACAUAUCAACAACAUUUGAGUAUGAUUCUCCGAGAGAUUUCUUGGGUCAUGGGACUCAUACAUCAUCAACAAUAGCCGGCAGUCGUGUUCAAAAUGCUAAUUACUUCGGCUACGCUGAAGGCUGACGAUCCUCUUGCUACCAUAGGUUAAAAAAAGAAAAAAAAAGAAAAAAAAAGUUUUAAGAGUAGCUUUCAGUCCCAGAAUUAUUUGAGAGGCCUACUUUUCCCAGAAUUAUUUGAGAGGCUGCUGUUUGACUCAGUCAAUAAUUGCUCCUAUUGAUCUCCAUCGUCCAAUUGGAAUUUCAGUAGUGAGGCAGGAUUGAUGCUUCCAAAAUGAAGAGUAUUAAAAAAGGAAGCAAGAUUAUUUUCACCUUGUUUUCUUCGAACAUUCCAGGCAAGUCGGUCCUUUUUUUUUAUUUUGCUUUUUUUUUUCCUUCGAUUUUUCUCUUGAUCUCCACCAUCAAUUUGUUCUUUUCUUCCAACUUUUCUCUUGAUAACUUCAUCAGCGUACAUUAUACGCUUGUGUUUAAAAGGUUCAGUAGGCUUGCGACUGUGAACUGAAGCAGCAAACUGAGUGCAAACCACACUGUUUUUUAGGCAGAAAACGCGCAGGGGAACAGUGAGUACAGCAUGAUGUACAUCUCCCAAUUUGAGAUAUAAGAUCCCCUCUGUUUCAGCCCUGGCUUUGUAGCCAACACCUUCAAUCUUCAAAAGCCAAAAAAAAUUGGCUUCCAUCCCAGUUAAAGUAAAUUUAUCGUGUAAAUUUCCUCAAUAGCCGUCAUAGCAAGUGCUUGGAACCCCAGGUAAAUCAGUCCUUACAAUAGCUUUACCAAAAAAAAGAAAAAUUGAAAGACAUUGAUGUUUUCAAUGCCAAUGAAUUGUACAUGCAUAGCACGUCUAUACAAGUAUAGAAGAAGCUUUUAGUAUGUAUUUCAAAUGUCAUACCAAUUCAAGUCGGUGACAAGAAUCAUGGGAGCAUUCACAGGCAUCAUUUUGAUGAUCCUCUCUAUUUUACUCUUGGUCUUGUCUGCCGCCUCAGCAUCUAUGUUAAGAGAUCGUAAAACGUAUAUUAUCCACAUGGACAAGUCGGCAAUGCCAGCUCCAUUUUCCACCCACCACCACUGGUACAUGUCCAUUCUUUCAUCCCUUUCUUCACCUGAUGGUGAUGCCCCAACCCAUCUCUACACCUACAACCAUGUCAUGGAUGGAUUCAGUGGCGUGUUAUCGCAGACGCACCUCGACAAACUCCAGAAAAUGCCAGGUCACCUUGCCACGUACCAGGAAACAUUUGGCCACCUGCACACCACCCACACCCCAAAAUUUCUCGGCCUAAAGAAACAAGCUGGGUUAUGGCCAGCUGCAGGUUUUGGUAGUCACGUUAUUGUGGGUGUUAUUGAUACUGGAGUUUGGCCAGAGAGUCCGAGCUUUAAAGAUGACGGCAUGCCCCCAGUGCCUGAGCGAUGGCGCGGCGCCUGUGAAGUGGGUGUUGAGUUUAACGCUUCACAUUGCAACAGAAAACUGAUAGGUGCACGUUCAUUCAACAAAGGGUUGAAGCAGUAUGGCUUGAAAAUAUCAACAACAUUUGAUUAUGAUUCUCCGAGAGAUUUCUUCGGUCAUGGGACUCAUACAUCAUCAACAAUAGCCGGCAGUCGUGUUCAAAAUGCUAAUUACUUCGGCUACGCUGAAGGGACUGCAAUUGGAGUUGCACCAAUGGCGAGGAUUGCAAUGUACAAAAUAGCGUUCUACAAUGAUACUCUUAAGGCAGCAGCUGUUGAUGUUUUGGCUGGCAUGGAUCAAGCCAUAGCUGACGGUGUAGAUGUCAUGUCAUUGUCCCUGGCUUUCCCAGAGACAACAUUUGAUGAGAACCCAAUAGCCAUUGGAGCUUUUGCAGCAUUGAAGAAAGGAAUUUUUGUUGCCUGUGCAGCAGGAAAUUCAGGACCACGUCCAUACUCCAUACUAAAUGGAGCACCUUGGAUUACUACAGUUGCUGCAGGAACUGUUGACAGAGAGUUUGCAGCCUACGUCACCCUUGGCAAUGAAGAGCUAUCAGUUCUUGGAAAAUCUGUGUACCCGGAGAAUCUGUUUGUCUCCAGGGAACCUAUAUACUUCGGAUAUGGAAAUAGAUCCAAAGAAAUUUGUGAAGGUAACUCAACAGACCCUAGAGCAGUUGCAGGCAAAUAUAUCUUUUGUGCAUUUGACUAUAAAGGUAACAUAACCGUAAGUCAGCAAUUGAAGGAAGUGCGCAGAACUAGAGCCGCCGGAGCUAUCAUCAGUGCAGACUCAAGGCAAAAUCUGUUUCCCGACAACUUUGACAUGCCUUUCGUUACAGUAAACCUGAAUAACGGAGAGUUAGUGAAGAAGUACAUAAUCAAUGCGGAUAAUGCAACGGUUAGUAUCAAGUUCCAGAUCACGAUAUUGGGCACCAAGCCAUCUCCACAAGUAGCCAAUUUUUCAUCACGAGGGCCUUCUCUUCGAUCUCCAUGGAUUCUAAAACCUGAUAUAUUGGCUCCAGGAGUUGAUAUCUUGGGGGCAUGGGUUCCCAACAGGCCUAUAGCUACAAUUCGUGAUCUUGGUAAGCUGCUCACCUGUGCAAUGAACUACACUAGUCAACAGAUUCGAAUUGUCACAGGGACAUCGGAUUUUACAUGUGAGCAUGGCAAUCUGGAUCUUAAUUAUCCAUCAUUUAUCAUCAUCUUGAACAACAGCAACACUGCUAGCUUCACCUUCAAGAGGGUAUUGACAAAUGUAGCCGAUACCAGGUCAACUUAUACUGCAGCAGUGAAGGCUCCAGUGGGUAUGACAGUGACUCUGGAACCAGCAACAUUAUCCUUUGCCGGAAAGUUUAGCAAAGCUGAGUUCAAUUUGACUGUGAACAUUAAUCUGGGAAAUGCUUUUAGUCCCAAAAGUAACUUUCUUGGAAAUUUUGGGUAUUUGACAUGGUAUGAAGUUAAAGGAAAGCAUACGGUGAGAAGCCCCAUUGUCGCUGCUUUGCUAAUAAUUCUAGAGGAGUGACAAUAGUUGAAAAUAUAGCAUAGACAACAGUAGAAAGAAUUCAAGUAAUAAACGACUCUUGGCAAAUAGAAAUCCAUCUUAUGCAGAGUUUGUUAUUCGGACUUCCUGUUAAUGUUGCAAGAAAUGACUAGAUGCUUCAUAAUAGUCUUGAGAAUUUCGUCCAAAAUAUUUCAAGAAAUGUUUUAGGAAAAUAUUAAGGAAGGUUACUGUGAUAUUCAAUAUUUUUAGAAUAAUUUGGAUAUACUUAUAUUUUUGUCGAAAUGGCGGUAAAAGAGUUUUUUUUUUUUUUUAACUUUACUAUUUGUAUCAUUAACGAUUUCAGAUCAUUUUGCAAACGAAUCAACCAAUAGUGGCUAAAUCUUAGGCUGCUGGCCAGCAAAAUGAAUUAAUGAAAAUAAACAUCAGACCUAGCCAUGAUCAGUCAAUUUAGCGUUUGAUUUAUUAUGUGUUUCAGUUGAAACAUCAUGUACAUACAUACACAUGCAGGCAAAGAAAGCUCCCACUUAUCUGGUGGAAAAACUGCAAAACUAGAAGACACUUGAAUUUACUUGCAGAUAAGACAAAGAAAGAGAUUGAUGUUUUUUCACAUUUCACGUGAGUCUUUAGAUUAUAUAUAAAGGAAUGGUUAGGAUUAAAUUAAUUAAAUAAAAAGUAACAUUUGUUUCUUCUAUUUAUUAUUUUUCUCUCCUCUACUUCCUUUUUUUUUCUUGUUGGGUCUUCCGUCUCACUUUCCCUCUGUUCUUUAAUUUUUACCAUGACCAUAGACAAAGGGACGUGUGAUUUGAAUGUUUGUCGACGAGGGAACAAUCAAUUUUCAUAUUUCUUUAAAUUUUUAAGGCGAAAUAAACUUUAAUUUCAUUUGAUGACUCUGGUUUGGUAAAAAAUUGUGCAAGAGAAAUUUAUGCAAGUUCAAAGCAACUAUAAUAUAGUUAAGGGAAAUCAAGAGUAAUUAGGGGUGGCUUGAAGUAGAAACAAAUAAGCCGAUUGCCUAAGGUCCCAAAUUUUAGGAAAACCUAUUAGAUAUCUCUCUAAUUAAUAAUUAACAUGUAAUUAGGAUUUUUUUAAAUUAAAACAAUUUGUAUUUGGUAACCUUAUUGUUAAAGCGAUAUAAUUAAUAAUAUUGUCUAACCAUUAAUUCAUUCAUUAUUAGUUUUUGCAAAAAAUAAAUAAAUUUUUUACCUUUUCGGUUUCUUAAAUAAGCUUAAUUAUUUAACAUUAGAAUUUUUGACUUUUAGCAUUUCUUUUAAUUUCUAUUAAAAACCUUAUAAUCUAAAAAAAAUCAUAGAUGAAAAAAUUUCUUACUCUACAAGGAAAAUUAUUACAUGCAUUAGUUCAUUCAAAAAAAAAAUUUCUUAAAAUACAAAGUUCAUAUCCAUUAUCUGAUCAUCAAUUUAUUAUCUUAACUUUAUAUAUGCUACUAUUCUAAAUAUUCUAUUUCAAAAUAGUAUUGUUCUCAUUUAUUUAUUUGUUUAUUUUUGUAAAACAUUUGAAGCAAGUAAAUUUUAGGUUUUUUUUAAAAAAAUUUUUAGGAUCUUCUUGAUUAUUUGUUGAAAUUCAAAAAUAAAGAUGAAAUAAAUUUUGAGCUCUUUUAUUUAAUUAUUUUUUUGAGUUUUGAAGUUGUUAGAACAAAAAAAAGCCCCAUAAAAUAAGUUCACCUAAGGGCUUAGAUACUCUACGCUGGCCCAGAAAGAGUUAUGAGUAGAGGCGAGAGGAAAAAAAAAUGUAAAGAUGGCCAUGAAGAUCGUUGAAGAGAAAAAGAAGAUGAUUAAACAAAAUUAAUAGAAUAUUUAAUACGUCCCAUUAAUCUCCACCGUUCAUUUAUCUAUAAUCUAAAAACUCACAAGGAGUGUAAACAACAGUGUAAUUUUAAGCGGCCACUGAUAUGCCUUGAUAUAUGUAAAUUGAUCUCAAUUAAAAGAAAAAAAAUUUGCAAAAUCCAAUCUGUUUUUUCUUUUUUUCUUUUUUGUUAAUAAUAAGAAUUAGCUAAUAGAGUAAUCACUCCACAAACAAGUGUACAUGACUGCAAACAUUUUUGAGUAAGUUUUUUUAAUAAGAAAUAAAAAGAAAAUUACAGAGUAUGCCUAAGCUUUUCUUCAAAUUUAUAUACUAUGAGCAACACUUUUUUACCUUCCUUGUUCUUUAAUUUAUAGUUCAACACUAUUAAUAUUUUUUUUCUUUUCCUUUUUUACAGAAGAAAGGCUCGAGAGAAGAAUAAGUAGGAAAGAGAGAAACAAGGAAAAAUAUUAAAAGACAAAAAUAAGAGAGAAAAUAUAAUAGAAUGAAUAUAUAAUAUUUGGUGGGGGCUAAAAUUUAGUAAUUUUUCUUAAAAAAGAAAUCCACAUGUAUAAUAAUUUUAACCAUUGAAUUGAUUAGGAUUUAAAGGUUGAGAUUUUGUGUCAAAAUUUAUAGGAAAAAAAAAAAGGACUCUCAAAUCCUAUCCCAUAAUGUUGUAGGAUGGGAAUUACUUUUAGGAGGCUCAAAAGUGACUUUAAAAAGAUAAAAAACGAAUUUUGAUAUUUGUAUUUUUUUUUAAAUCACUUUAGUAAAAUCAUCUCAUCCUACAAUAGAUUUGAAAAGUAUGGAAUGAGUAACUUUCAAAAUCUGAUUUUGAGAUUUAGUUUUAUAUCUUAUAUGAUUUCAUAUAUAUCCUCAUAAAUAUUAAAAAAAUCCAAAAUUAUCCUUAUUAAUUAGGAAAUAAAAUUAUUAACUUUAAAGAGAUUUUUUGUACUACCAAUUAUAUUGAGAUAACAAAAUAAAAAUAAAAUUAAUAGUAUAAAAUAUUUAUUUUAGUUAUCAAAUAUUUUAGAUACACAACAGAAAAAUAUUUUAUAUGCUUAUUUAUAAAUGUAUAAAUAAGUUUUAUUUAAUGUUAUAUAUAAUUCAGUCAUUUUUAUUUUUACUACAAUUUAAAAAUAUACAAGAUUCACCAAACAAAUAUGAUUGCUUUUAAUACUCACAAUACUUUUAAAAUUAAAUUUUAUCAAAUAUUUAACUGAUUAACUUCACAACUGAUUAUUUUUACAACACAGACAAUAUCAAUUAUUUUCAAAGUUACGACAUAUGCAAACUGACCCUAAGAAAAAUAGCCCAAAAUAACUUUUAGAAAUUAGAUUUUUUUGAUAAUAUAAUUUUAUAAUUUACAAUACCAAAAAUAACCUUAUUUGUUAUACAUAUUUUUGAAAAUACCCAUUAGGGUUGUUAAAAAUACCCACCUUGCUUGAAUCCAGGCAAGACCGGGGCAAUGUUGGCAAGGUACUACCCGACCUGGGAUGAGGCUGGCCAGUCUUGGCCAUCAGUUGAUAAGCCCAAGGUCCAGCUUGGAACCUAAAUUUUAUAAAUAAAAAAUUAUUAAAUAUUAUAUUAUUUUAAAUAAUAUAUAUAUUUGACUCAUCUAUUACAUAUAUUUAAAACCUUAAACAUUUAAAGUUCAUAUUUUUAUGUCCAAUUUCAUUAAAAAAAAUUAAAAAUUACAAAAUUAUAAAAUAAAUUAAAAACAUAUACAUAUAAUAUUAUAAAAUAAAAAAUCUGCCUNNNNNNNNNNNNNNNNNNNNNNNNNNNNNNNNNNNNNNNNNNNNNNNNNNNNNNNNNNNNNNNNNNNNNNNNNNNNNNNNNNNNNNNNNNNNNNNNNNNNNNNNNNNNNNNNNNNNNNNNNNNNNNNNNNNNNNNNNNNNNNNNNNNNNNNNNNNNNNNNNNNNNNNNNNNNNNNNNNNNNNNNNNNNNNNNNNNNNNNNNNNNNNNNNNNNNNNNNNNNNNNNNNNNNNNNNNNNNNNNNNNNNNNNNNNNNNNNNNNNNNNNNNNNNNNNNNNNNNNNNNNNNNNNNNNNNNNNNNNNNNNNNNNNNNNNNNNNNNNNNNNNNNNNNNNNNNNNNNNNNNNNNNNNNNNNNNNNNNNNNNNNNNNNNNNNNNNNNNNNNNNNNNNNNNNNNNNNNNNNNNNNNNNNNNNNNNNNNNNNNNNNNNNNNNNNNNNNNNNNNNNNNNNNNNNNNNNNNNNNNNNNNNNNNNNNNNNNNNNNNNNNNNNNNNNNNNNNNNNNNNNNNNNNNNNNNNNNNNNNNNNNNNNNNNNNNNNNNNNNNNNNNNNNNNNNNNNNNNNNNNNNNNNNNNNNNNNNNNNNNNNNNNNNNNNNNNNNNNNNNNNNNNNNNNNNNNNNNNNNNNNNNNNNNNNNNNNNNNNNNNNNNNNNNNNNNNNNNNNNNNNNNNNNNNNNNNNNNNNNNNNNNNNNNNNNNNNNNNNNNNNNNNNNNNNNNNNNNNNNNNNNNNNNNNNNNNNNNNNNNNNNNNNNNNNNNNNNNNNNNNNNNNNNNNNNNNNNNNNNNNNNNNNNNNNNNNNNNNNNNNNNNNNNNNNNNNNNNNNNNNNNNNNNNNNNNNNNNNNNNNNNNNNNNNNNNNNNNNNNNNNNNNNNNNNNNNNNNNNNNNNNNNNNNNNNNNNNNNNNNNNNNNNNNNNNNNNNNNNNNNNNNNNNNNNNNNNNNNNNNNNNNNNNNNNNNNNNNNNNNNNNNNNNNNNNNNNNNNNNNNNNNNNNNNNNNNNNNNNNNNNNNNNNNNNNNNNNNNNNNNNNNNNNNNNNNNNNNNNNNNNNNNNNNNNNNNNNNNNNNNNNNNNNNNNNNNNNNNNNNNNNNNNNNNNNNNNNNNNNNNUCCAUUUUUGUUUAUCAAGGUUGGGAAAUGGUUUUUCAUUAUAAAUAUUUAAAACAAAUAAAUUGAAUAGUACAACUUCUCAGAGGUUCUCACUACAUGAAUUAUCCAAGAUUAUUCCCUCAAUGCUGCUAUAAUUAAGCUUGCCCCAAUCAUUAUACAUCUUUACAAAAUUUUAAAGAGAUCUAACGGAUCUUUUUUCCUCAAAUUCCUCUUUGGCCUUAUUCUAUCUUCCCCACUCUCCCCGUUCUACUUUUGGAAGACCAUGCGUUAUAUCACCAGGUCUCGAUUAUGGAAUUCAUGAAAUCCUAAUCAUUGCAAGUAACUUAUAAUGCAUGUUUCUGAUUCAUCCUUGGAGAAUUAUUAGAUAACCAAAAUUUUAAUGCAACUUUAAGCAUCAUUUGUUUAUUUUUAUGGUCAAUGGAAUAUUCAAUAAAUAAAUGUUUCACUACAUGAUCAUAUCACACUUCAUUCUUGAAAGAACCUUGGCUGACAGUAAUUAACAUAGAGAUUCAACAAAUAGUGUCGCCCGAUAAAUUUUUGAUAAUUUUGGAAUGCCAUAUUACUUUGGAAAGAUCCACUUGGAAGAAAUAUCUGUAAGCGGCUUGAAAAAUAGCAACUAACUAACUAGUGAAAUAAAGGUAAAAACUUGGCAAGUCUAAUGAAAGUUCAGCAGCUAUAACAUCCACCUAAAUUUAUGAAUCCAUACGAAAAACAUUAGCUAACAACUUCACAUGAAUCCAUGAUUUACAAAAUUGAACUCGUUAAUCUUAAAAUUGUCACUAAACAGAUAAAGAGAGGCACAAAUAUUCUCAAUCUGUUAUAUCAAAACAGAGUUUGGCCUCAUCCCGAGGACCGUUAAUCUCGAAUUUGUAUUCCUGAGUUCAUAUAAGCCAGUACGGACAAUCCACAUUCACAAAAACCAACAUACCUAAAAACAACACAAAAAGAGUAACCGAUGCAGCAUAUGAACAUCAAGCUACAAGCUUCUUUCCUACCAUUUGGUUCUUAUGAAGUUUUAUUAGAUGGUGUUUGGGCAUAACAGUCCAACCGACAGAUCUAGAUUCAAAUGAAUGAAUGCCACGGAAAGUCGCCGAUGAGCUGGCUUAAAAACCUCAAUUUGUUGCCACUGUAUUCUAUUAUGAGGGUGAAAAGUCGAGGACGUGUAGGAUUGGGAUGUCUCUGUCUGUAUGUAUAAACUACACGCAUGUUGCUGGUGGGUCUAUGCAGAGAAUUAAUUGCUGCCACUGACUUGUUGUCUUUUGCCACCAAAUUUUUCAAUCAACUGACGAAUGCGGGAGCUUGGUAAAUUUCUAAUAAUAUUCAUUUGGUGGUCCAGCGCAGAAGAUAUUAACUUGUCAGAUGUAACCAAGUACUUCCUUAGUUUUCCCAAUUCUCUCCUAUUCAGAUAAGCGGGAAAAAAAAAAAAAAAGGCUCAUCAUAGUACAAAUCUACUAGGAGAGACGAUCAUGACAAGUUUAAAGAAUCCUAUGAAAAGUUUACAUAUGAAGACAAUCAUGCUCAAAUUUGUGGAUGAGUUGUUUGGGGGAUAAAAGAGGCAGCAUGAUUGAAUACGAUUUCGUGCAAAUCAUGCUCUCCUCGACAUUAUAGUUAACAGCUGGCCUCCUCGAGUUGUGAUUUAUAGAAGCUCCUAAGCAAUCUGCUUUAGUCAUUACGUAGCAGGUAGGUCGCUCUACAGUUUUGCUCGCACAAGGAUCUCACAAGGAGAGACUCAAACCAAGUCAACCUAAACACUCGGUCAUGAGUCAACUUGAGAUUUUAGGGUCUAGUGAUGAGUAUAAUUUAUAUAUAUUUUUUAACUUUUAUUAUAUAAUUGUUAGUUAUUUUUAUUUAUUAUUUUUAAUUAAUUGAAUUAUUUUAUUGAAUAGGAGAUUAAUUGGAGAUUAUGAAUGAAAAGUACAAAAAGAAUAAUAAUUAGACAGCAUUAAAGAUCAAAUCAAUUUGUGGAAGCAAUUAAGCAUAUGUGCAUGAUAUUCAAGAUGAAGAAACCGAAGCCAAUAAAUUAAAUCAGUCAUGCUCAUGCAAACCAAGAAGACGUUUAAAGCUAAAGCUCUAAAAGACAUUAUUAAUUGGCCAUGUGCUUUUAAGUCAAACAAGUGGCUUGCUUUCAAACAUUAAUGAGGAAACAAUUAAAAAUAGGCUUGGUGAGCAGGUGAGUGAAGCCAAAACAAAUUAAAAGGCCAAACCUUUUGAUUUUAGAGUUGGAAAAGUUGGUGGGGCUCAUUUUAAAGACUAAGGGUGCGUUGGAGAUUGAGGUGUUGUAGCUUAAAAGCUACAGUUGUUAGUUGAAUAGUGGUGGAUUCUGAAACCUUGGUAAUUUUGUCUUAUUGAAUUCUCAUUUGCUUUAAUUGUUUUCUUAGUUUAAUUAGUUUAAUUUUCUUAAAAAAAAACUCAAUUUGCCCAACUAGGUUAGGAUUAAUAUUAAUUUUAAAUUUAAAUUAGACUUUUCAAUUCGUAACAAUCUCUGUAGGUUUAACCUCGUUACCAUUAUUCUAUCUCUAAAUUCGUGCGCUUGCGAGUAUAUUAAAAUUUUUCAAUAAUUUUGAUAAAAUUAUUAAAGAUAUAAUAGAUUUUUCACUAUACAAGUGAAAAAUUAUAUUAACAUAGCUUCCAAGUUACAAUAGCUAGUGUUUUCCAAACACUUUAGUACUGUACUUUAAAAGUUACAGCUGCCUAACAUCAAUCUCAAUCGCACCCUAAAUAUAAAAGCAAGCUUUUGGCUUUUGGAGAAGGGGAGCAGCCGCCAGGAAGAAAAAGAAGCAGACACGAUUCGGGAGAGACAGGAGCGACAGCAACUGUUCAAUUUUUCCCAUGGCUGGAUUUAUUUUAUUUGUUGCUCCUAAUUCAAGUAUGUCUAGCUAAUUUUUUUAUACUGAGGUUAAGGAUGAAACCAUAUUUAAUGAAAUAAUUAUCUUUUUAUUUAAUUAAUUCCCUAUAUAUGUGCUUUAAUGUUUAUGGUUCUUGUUUCACAUGAUUAAUUGGAUGUUAUUAAAAUCUUUUCAUCAAUUCUGUCAUGCAUUAUUGAUUGUUAUGAUUAAUAUUCGAUUAAAUCUAUGCUUGGAUCUAUAAAGUUUAUACAUGAUUAUCUUUGAUUUUAUGUCUUUCAUUAAAUUGUUUACAUAGAGUGCUUAGGAAAACUUUGACUUUCUGUUAUUCAAUAUGUUUACAUGGGAUGCUUAGAUGUCAUACUAUGAAGUAGAAAAAGAACAUACAUUAGAUUUAAUUACUUGGGUUUAAUUGUUAUAUUCAUGAGAUGAUAUAAAUUGAUUUCGAGUUGUCACUCUAAAAUUAGAGAUUAAUUAAUAAUUAGAUAAUUAUUAGUUGAAUAGUGGUGGAUUCUGAAACCUUGGUAAUUUUGUCUUAUUGAAUUCUCAUUUGCUUUAAUUGUUUUCUUAGUUUAAUUAGUUUAAUUUUCUUAAAAAAAAACUCAAUUUGCCCAACUAGGUUAGGAUUAAUAUUAAUUUUAAAUUUAAAUUAGACUUUUCAAUUCGUAACAAUCUCUGUAGGUUUAACCUCGUUACCAUUAUUCUAUCUCUAAAUUCGUGCGCUUGCGAGUAUAUUAAAAUUUUUCACAUCUCGGUCCUCUAUAAGAACUCUAGAAAAUUUAAAAUCAAGAAAGUUUUCUCUGACUCAUAGGACCUCUGGACUUUCUCUCUUUUCCAACUUUUUCUCAUAUUUACUUUAAAAGUAAUUUUCGAAAGCAUUUGGAAUUAAGUUACAAGAGCUGUGGCAUAAGUUUUUUUCUAAAAGACCUAAUUUUUUACUUGAACGUCGAAGAGUUCACGCUGGAAGACACAUCUAAUGUCCCGCUAACUGUUUUUGUGAACGCAAGUGUAUUUCAAGUGCUCGUGGUUGCUUGCAUUUGCGCGAAGAAAGGAAGUGCGAGCAAGUAUCGUCUCCCAUAAAAACAAAUUUAAGUAUUGGUGUAGACACCUGCUCGCAACAACAUGGACCAGAUUUUUGCAUCUAACAUGAGUCAUAGAAAAUAAAACAAUAUUCAGUUCCUUGAUGCUAAAUGGCAUUAGCAAGUCAAGGAUCCUUUGUAAUACGAAGACAUUCAUCCUCAAAUUCUAAUUCAGCAAAUAUUUGCUUUGUCCUUAAUAUAAAUGCAUUUGGAAAGUUGCUCUCUUUCUCACCUGACGAUCCUCUUGCUACCAUAGGUUAAAAAAAGAAAAAAAAAGAAAAAAAAAGUUUUAAGAGUAGCUUUCAGUCCCAGAAUUAUUUGAGAGGCCUACUUUUCCCAGAAUUAUUUGAGAGGCUGCUGUUUGACUCAGUCAAUAAUUGCUCCUAUUGAUCUCCAUCGUCCAAUUGGAAUUUCAGUAGUGAGGCAGGAUUGAUGCUUCCAAAAUGAAGAGUAUUAAAAAAGGAAGCAAGAUUAUUUUCACCUUGUUUUCUUCGAACAUUCCAGGCAAGUCGGUCCUUUUUUUUUAUUUUGCUUUUUUUUUUCCUUCGAUUUUUCUCUUGAUCUCCACCAUCAAUUUGUUCUUUUCUUCCAACUUUUCUCUUGAUAACUUCAUCAGCGUACAUUAUACGCUUGUGUUUAAAAGGUUCAGUAGGCUUGCGACUGUGAACUGAAGCAGCAAACUGAGUGCAAACCACACUGUUUUUUAGGCAGAAAACGCGCAGGGGAACAGUGAGUACAGCAUGAUGUACAUCUCCCAAUUUGAGAUAUAAGAGCCCCUCUGUUUCAGCCCUGGCUUUGUAGCCAACACCUACAAUCUUCAAAAGCCAAAAAAAAUGGGCUUCCAUCCCAGUUAAAGUAAAUUUAUCGUGUAAAUUUCCUCAAUAGCCGUCAUAGCAAGUGCUUGGAACCCCAGGUAAAUCAGUCCUUACAAUAGCUUUACCAAAAAAAAGAAAAAUUGAAAGACAUUGAUGUUUUCAAUGCCAAUGAAUUGUACAUGCAUAGCACGUCUAUACAAGUAUAGAAGAAGCUUUUAGUAUGUAUUUCAAAUGUCAUACCAAUUCAAGUCGGUGACAAGAAUCAUGGGAGCAUUCACAGGCAUCAUUUUGAUGAUCCUCUCUAUUUUACUCUUGGUCUUGUCUGCCGCCUCAGCAUCUAUGUUAAGAGAUCGUAAAACGUAUAUUAUCCACAUGGACAAGUCGGCAAUGCCAGCUCCAUUUUCCACCCACCACCACUGGUACAUGUCCAUUCUUUCAUCCCUUUCUUCACCUGAUGGUGAUGCCCCAACCCAUCUCUACACCUACAACCAUGUCAUGGAUGGAUUCAGUGGCGUGUUAUCGCAGACGCACCUCGACAAACUCCAGAAAAUGCCAGGUCACCUUGCCACGUACCAGGAAACAUUUGGCCACCUGCACACCACCCACACCCCAAAAUUUCUCGGCCUAAAGAAACAAGCUGGGUUAUGGCCAGCUGCAGGUUUUGGUAGUCACGUUAUUGUGGGUGUUAUUGAUACUGGAGUUUGGCCAGAGAGUCCGAGCUUUAAAGAUGACGGCAUGCCUCCAGUGCCUGAGCGAUGGCGCGGUGCCUGUGAAGUGGGUGUUGAGUUUAAUGCUUCUCAUUGCAACAGAAAACUGAUAGGAGCACGCUCAUUCAGCAAAGGGCUGAAGCACUAUGGCUUGAACAUAUCAACAACAUUUGAGUAUGAUUCUCCGAGAGAUUUCUUGGGUCAUGGGACUCAUACAUCAUCAACAAUAGCCGGCAGUCGUGUUCAAAAUGCUAAUUACUUCGGCUACGCUGAAGGAACUGCAAUUGGAGUUGCACCAAUGGCGAGGAUUGCAAUGUACAAAAUAGCGUUCUACAAUGAUACUCUUAAGGCAGCAGCUGUUGAUGUUUUGGCUGGCAUGGAUCAAGCCAUAGCUGACGGUGUAGAUGUCAUGUCAUUGUCCCUGGGUUUCCCAGAGACAACAUUUGAUGAGAACCCAAUAGCCAUUGGAGCUUUUGCAGCAUUGAAGAAAGGAAUUUUUGUUGCCUGUUCAGCAGGAAAUUCAGGACCACGUCCAUACUCCAUACUAAAUGGAGCACCUUGGAUUACUACAGUUGCUGCAGGAACUGUUGACAGAGAGUUUGCAGCCUACGUCACCCUUGGCAAUGAAGAGCUAUCAGUUCUUGGAAAAUCUGUGUACCCGGAGAAUCUGUUUGUCUCCAGGGAACCUAUAUACUUCGGAUAUGGAAAUAGAUCCAAAGAAAUUUGUGAAGGUAACUCAACAGACCCUAGAGCAGUUGCAGGCAAAUAUAUCUUUUGUGCAUUUGACUAUAAAGGUAACAUAACCGUAAGUCAGCAAUUGAAGGAAGUGCGCAGAACUAGAGCCGCCGGAGCUAUCAUCAGUGCAGACUCAAGGCAAAAUCUGUUUCCCGACAACUUUGACAUGCCUUUCGUUACAGUAAACCUGAAUAACGGAGAGUUAGUGAAGAAGUACAUAAUCAAUGCGGAUAAUGCAACGGUUAGUAUCAAGUUCCAGAUCACGAUAUUGGGCACCAAGCCAUCUCCACAAGUAGCCAAUUUUUCAUCACGAGGGCCUUCUCUUCGAUCUCCAUGGAUUCUAAAACCUGAUAUAUUGGCUCCAGGAGUUGAUAUCUUGGGGGCAUGGGUUCCCAACAGGCCUAUAGCUACAAUUCGUGAUCUUGGUAAGCUACUCACCGAAUAUGCUCUCGAAUCCGGCACAUCAAUGUCUUGCCCUCAUGCAGCUGGUAUAGCCNN
rnacentral:lncRNA from 1 species